AGAAUAAAUAGUGAUAGGGAGUACAGUUUUGACUAAAAAUUUCAAGAUGGCAAAUUCUAGAUGCAACUCUUCAAAGACCUUGAAGGGUGAAGGACGUAGUGUUUAACACAAUUAUCGUCGUGUAUAGUUGCGCACAGCGCAUG
rnacentral:misc_RNA from 1 species